rnacentral:rRNA from 1 species
UACAGAGGUGGCAAGCGUUGUUCGGAAUUACUGGGCGUAAAGGGCGCGUAGGCGGUUUGGACAGUCAGAUGUGAAAUUCCUGGGCUCAACCUGGGGGCUGCAUUUGAUACGUUCGGACUAGAGUGGGGAAGAGGGUCGUGGAAUUCCCAAUGUAGAGGUGAAAUUCGUAGAUAUUGGGAAGAACACCGGUGGCGAAGGCGGCGACCUGGUCCUUGACUGACGCUGAGGCGCGAAAGCGUGGGGAGCAAACAGG